GAUGAACGCUGGCGGCGUGCCUAAUACAUGCCAGUCGAGCGAACAGACGAGGAGCUUGCUCCUCUGACGUUAGCGGCGGACGGGUGAGUAACACGUGCAUAACCUACCUAUAAGACUGGGAUAACUUCGGGAAACCGGAGCUAAUACCGGAUAAUAUAUUGAACCGCAUGGUUCAAUAGUGAAAGACGGUUUUGCUGUCACUUAUAGAUGGAUCCGCGCCGCAUUAGCUAGUUGGUAAGGUAACGGCUUACCAAGGCAACGAUGCGUAGCCGACCUGAGAGGGUGAUCGGCCACACUGGAACUGAGACACGGUCCAGACUCCUACGGGAGGCAGCAGUAGGGAAUCUUCCGCAAUGGGCGAAAGCCUGACGGAGCAACGCCGCGUGAGUGAUGAAGGUCUUCGGAUCGUAAAACUCUGUUAUUAGGGAAGAACAAAUGUGUAAGUAACUAUGCACGUCUUGACGGUACCUAAUCAGAAAGCCACGGCUAACUACGUG
rnacentral:rRNA from 1 species